CUGCAUUGAACCCCACCUAUAGGUUACUGUAGGCCUGCAUUGAACCCCACCCAUAGGUUACUGUAGGCCUGCAUUGAUCCCCACCUAUAGGUUACUGUAGGCCUGCAUUGAUCCCCACCUAUAGGUUACUGUAGGCCUGCAUUGAACCCCACCUAUAGGUUAAUGUAGGCCUGCAUUGAUCCCCACCUAUAGGUUACUGUAGGCCUGCAUUGAUCCCCACCUAUAGGUUACUGUAGGCCUGCAUUGAUCCCUACCUAUAGGUUACUGUAGGCCUGCAUUGAUCCCCACCUAUAGGUUACUGUAGGCCUGCAUUGAUCCCCACCUAUAGGUUACUGUAGGCCUGCAUUGAUCCCUACCUAUAGGUUACUGUAGGCCUGCAUUGAUCCCCACCUAUAGGUUACUGUAGGCCUGCAUUGAUCCCCACCUAUAGGUUACUGUAGGCCUGCAUUGAUCCCUACCUAUAGGUUACUGUAGGCCUGCAUUGAUCCCCACCUAUAGGUUACUGUAGGCCUGCAUUGAUCCCUACCUAUAGGUUACUGUAGGCCUGCAUUGAUCCCUACCUAUAGGUUACUGUAGGCCUGCAUUGAUCCCCACCUAUAGGUUACUGUAGGCCUGCAUUGAUCCCCACCUAUAGGUUACUGUAGGCCUGCAUUGAUCCCCACCUAUAGGUUACUGUAGGCCUGCAUUGAACCACACCUAUAGGUUACUGUAGGCCUGCGUUGAACCCCAACUAUAGGUUACUGUAGGCCUGCAUUGAACCACACCUAUAGGUUACUGUAGGCCUGCAUUGAACCACACCUAUAGGUUACUGUAGGCCUGCGUUGAACCCCAACUAUAGGUUACUGUAGGCCUGCAUUGAACCACACCUAUAGGUUACUG